UUUCGUCAUCCUUAUGGCCUGUCAAGUUUUUAAGAUCUGUGCUGGAAUAACUAUUUUGUUGGCUGUUUGUAAGGAAAAGCCAAAAGUGUUAAUAGUGGCAGCUGUUUCAUUCUUUUCGGUUUUCGUCCAUGCACUUAUUGUAGAAUUCAUAAAGUUGGCUGCCACAGGUAAUGGGACUAAAGGGUUGAUUUCAGCUGCGCUCACAAUAUUUUUGAUUCUCUAUUUCACUUUGAUUCUCUGGAGUCACGCUCAAGAACUAAUAAAAGAAGAAGAAUGGGAAUAUUAUCAUGACGAAUCAGACGACCAGGAUCCUUAAGGAUAUCAGUAAACUAUUUACAUAUUUACGUUAAAGCAAC